UCUUAUGGAUGAUCAAAGAAUGUGGUUUGUUGAGAUGGAAUCUACUCCUGGUUAACAUGCUGUGAA
rnacentral:pre_miRNA from 1 species